GCUGGCUCUUCUGAAAGGAGGGGACAAAUGACAGUCUAUCAAACAGCAUGCUUUCAAAGAAAGAGGAGACCUGUUCCAGAACUGCAGCUUCAGAGGCUCUUUUAACAACAUAAGCAAAACUGGGAGCCAACCUCAUUUUUUCCCCCUGGCUGUAAUGAACACACAGCUUAGCUACAGCAGUCUCCCACCCCCAGUAAAAUGAACUGGAAUUACAAAGCUUAUGAAGAAAACAAGUGUCAUUUUUUUCCCUCUAUCUUUUUCCUUUCUUUUUAAUUGUUUUUUUUUUUUCUUUCUUUCCUAUUACUUUCUCUUUUUUUGGAUCGAAAGUAAGACCAAAUAAUGUCAAAAGGGAAAGGAGAGGGGUUCUGAGAUCAGUCUCAAAUCUCAGAAGAAGACUGCGGGAAAUGGUGCCAAAUUGAAGUGUUUAUCCAUGGCAGCCUCAAGCGGAGGCGGUGCCGGCUUCUUUGUACCACUCGACAUGCUCUGAUCUCAACCUGGUGGCCAGCGGCUGUCAGCAUGGAGGCCUGGGCAUGGUGCUGCUUCCCUGGGUGAUGUCCACCAGGACCUCCAACAUCACCCGCUCAUUAGGAUGUCUCUGAACAGCUGUCAUGUGGUGCUGACUUUUUGUCACAGCUGAUAGUGGUGAGAUUAAAGCAGGUAGCCAGAGGCUGAAAGACUCUCUGUUUUGUUACAAAGCUCUGAGUCAUCUAGUCUCCUGUUAUAAAUAUCAGUCGUCAGAUUUGGAUUCACACUGAGUCACUUGCAGUCUUGGAUAGGACCCAUUGCACUAAUGGGCAAUUUUGUGUUGCAAGACUAUUAGUAUACAAGAUUGCCACCAUUGUCAAGAUAUCAAAAUGUGAUCUUGUGUGUUUAAUAGUUCAUAAUUAACAAGCUGUAUUGCUCUACUGAACAUCUUCCACUUAUUCAGUCAGAUUUUGAAAUGAGUAGUCAAUUCCCAAAGUUUUUCCUGUUUCAAACUCAGUGUUGGAUCCGGAAGGCAUACUGGGAAGAAGGAGGAUUGUGUAGGGCAAGAUUCAGGUGUCACACUUUGUUACAUGAAGUCAAGUGCUGCCUACACUAAAUGACCAUAUUUGCUUUCACAGAGAGAAACAAAACUAUGAAGGUAACCUGAAUAGGCUUAAGAGAAAGGAGUCCCUACUGCUUACUUCUAUCUCUGCAGGGAGCCCAGGUGUCCCAGGGGACUUUAGGAUCAUUGCUAGCCAGUGAAAUGAGAAAAAUAAGGUGAAAUGAAGACUUCUAAUUACAGACACUGCUUGCAAAGCUCAUUGCUCUGUAGUUCAUAAGUGCACUUUAGGAGCAAUCUCAGAGAAGGACUUUGGCUUUGAAAGUAGUCUCAGAUUGUCAUCCAAACCACACCUACUCUCUUCUUGAUCCAAGGGAAGCAUAAACCCCCUGGAUAUGUAAGCUUUUACCCUGAAAACAUACCCUAGGGAAUCCUCAAUUUGAAAGUGAGUGGCUAACUAAUUAAUCCCAGCAAGAUCCAGGAAUUAGGCAAAGUUAAGCCUCUGAAUCUGUUAAGUACAAGUUGAACAAUCUUCAGUGUCUUCAGGAUCAACACAUGGCCUUGCUUCUGUCUGUUUUGAAAAGGAAAACAACUCUAGAUAUAACCAAAUGGUGAGAUUUCCCAAGUUCCAGGCUAUCAGCAUUGAAAAGAGUAUGAAAUAAGAUACCUCAAUUACUCUAAGCUUUUCUUUAUGGUCUCCAAUUCUAGAUUUUGAGUCUACCUGGAGAAAUACUUUGAGAAUUGUCGUUCUGCAGCUGGAGCAACUUAACUCUGUUUUGAAUUUUAGGUGCUAAGGAUCUUCAGAGUUAGAUCCACUGAGAUAUUUAGACCCACAGAUAUUUUGGCACCCAACUUCUGUUUGUCCCACCACCUGCAUCAACAGAGUUUAAAGUCAACUUGGGUGUAAAGAGCAUCAGAAAAUGAAAGUACCAAACAAUCUCUGCCUUUAGAGAGAGAGAAGGCAGUUGUUAUCUAAAAAUUUCCUCCACAUUAGGUUCUUAUUAUCUUUCCUUUUGCACCAUCAACUGUUCCAUGCAAUUGUGCUUGGAAUCAUUCAACUGAAAAGAAAGGCUCCCCUGUCCAUCUUCCUGGCAAACGUGUUCAAAGGUACCUCCUUUUUUCAUUCCCUUUCUCAGAUCUGGCUGGUGAAGCUUAUCAAACAGAGCGUUAACAGCAUAGCCUCUCUAAGUCUCCGAAGUCUGACCCCAAAUACAGAGAUCACUGAAUCUGUUGCGGGUUAGCAUAUGGCACUUGUUUGAGAACAUUGUUAGUGAAAGACUGAAUCCGGCAGCCUGACAGAUCCAAGUCUGCUGUAGCUAGCUCUAUGCCCUAUAAUCAACCACUACUGAUGCUGGGCAUAUACUGCCUAUAGAUACACACACACAGGCACUCAUAUGCAGCAUAUAUGCAUUUAUAAAUGCACAUACACAUCCACAUUGGUCACAGGUAGACACACAGAGCACUCAUACAAACAGCCUGUAGAAACCACUUCAUCCUGUCCUCUACCUGGCUGAUAAGAGUGAAAGUCUGUCAAUGCAAAAUAUAUAUAUAUAUAUAUGUGUGUGUGUAUAUAUAUAUAUAUAAUAUGUACAUAUAUAUAUAUACAUAUGUAUAAUAAGUAUGCAUGCAUACAAGGGCUGCUCCAUAAGUAAUAGCUCUUAUUUCAUUAUGUUGGCCCACGAUGUCAGAGGUGGAUGUUGGUGGUAUCACACUGGGGGCUGAUCCUUCCCAUCAAUAUUCCACUACACUUUGUUGCUGUGUGAAAAGCUGCAUAUUCAUUGAAGUUUUCUGAAGGUUUAUGGAGACCAACCAGUGGAUGUCAGCAUGGUAAGGAGGUUUGCGGUGUGUUUCAGCAGUGGAAACAGUGACAGUGGGUCAGCUCAGGUGCUGCAGAUUUUUGUUAGUGCAGCAUGCAAGCUCUUGUUCAUUGCUUGUGAAAAUGCAGAGCUAAUGGUGGUGUCUAAGUUGAAAAAUAGUGUUUUGUAUCUGAGAAUCUGCUCUAUCAAAUAGCAUGUUUGUGCUCUUUGAACCUGAUGUAGUUUCCAUGGAAAUAAACAGGAGGCAUUAUUUUUGGAGCAACCUAUGUAUUUGCAGGCACACGUGUAUAAAAUAUAGAUCCACUAGUAGCUAGGCUCAAAACUUCAGUGUGCCCAGUGGCUGCUCCUGGGUCCCAGUCUUACUAGUUGCAGGCAAAACCUAAAGGGUUAAGUAAUCUGAAUGAAUGGGGAUUUUGGCUCCUCAGGUUAUUUUGGUUCCCCCCCACUGCUAGGCUCUCUGCUCCUCUGUGUGCAUGGAGAUGAGCCUUUUAUCUCACAAGCUGACAAAUAUCUGCUUUCUGUGAGAUUUUUUGUUGCCUGCCUAGAUCCUGCUCUGUCUCUGAGGCGCAUAAGCUCUGUCAUGCUCAUUACAUGAAGAGCAUCAGGAGAGAGAAAGGGGAGAUCUGCCUUUUGAAGCAGAAAAAGCAACUGCUGCAAACCUGCAGUGUGUUUAAUGGAAGAGGACGUCUGGUUUCCAUGUAACGCUAAUAAAGUAUUCAGUACACUGGCAGGUGGAGCCUGGAAUGGAUGUGGGUGGUGAGGGUUGUGGGAAGCAGAGAGGAGACAGAGGGGUGUUAGAGGAUGGCCAGCUUGUGAUAGCAGGGAAAUCAAAGCCUUGUAAAGAGGAAAAUAUUUUAAAUGUUAUUUCAGUGUUUCAUCAAAAAAGAUUUUGCAAAGCUAUUUGUGACUGACUCUUUGGAGAUCUUGGUAUAAGGUUAUACUUAUACAUGUUUAAAGCAAUUCCAAGAUUUAUCCAUUUAGAAGAAAAACUGUAAAACUUAAAAAAAAAAUGAAAAAGAAAAAAUGUAUUUUCUCCUUGUCUUCAUAAAAGAAGGCAGAAGAAAAAAAAAACAAAAAACAGAGCAAGCAAAUAACCUUUUUUUUUUUUUUUUCCUCCCUGAAAAUAACCCUAGAAACACCCAGCACAGCAUAAAAAAUCAUCAAAUGCUUUUGAACUAAAAGCCAUUCUUUUCUUGGGAAAACAUGUAUAGACAAAAAUACCCAAGCUGCCAAACUGAUAAAUACAAUUGACCUGCUGUGAUGUUAACUUAGAGCUCAUCGAUUUCAUUUCUGAUGUGCCACAGGAACAUUCAUUUGCACUGAGUGCUAGCUAAGACCUUUUCAUUAGUGCUGCAGCAGCUGGAUUGUAGAUUUGGUCAAUGCGGAUGGGUAUGGAAUGACUUGGGCUCUUCUACCCCAGCUUUUGUCUGGCCAGAUGUGAGCUUAUGACAAUAGGCUGUUCCUGUGAAAGGCCAGGCAUGGUAGCCCAGGUGCAGUGCUGGAGUAGAGCUGGGGUCAAGCUUUGUGUUAUGAUUGGAUACUGAAAAAAAAGAAAUAGGUAAUUUGAGUUAAACCUGGUUAUUUACUCAAAACAAGUUCUCAUAAAGCCAUUUUCGAGAUUGUAUCAGAGCAUCUUCCAGUAAUGAAUUAUUCAGUUUAAUCAAUUUUUCACUCUCUCCUGCAUGAUUAGGAAACUGGGAUCUGGGACACAAAAUUGAGAGUGAUCCAUGGAGCAUCUCUAACUUUGAUAAGACCAGCCCUACUGGGAAUUUUCUUCAUUUAAAAACUGGGAGAUAAAGGGAUUGAGGCCGAUGCUGCUGUAGCUGAAAAGGGCGUCUCAUUCCAUACAGUUCAUAGAGACGCUGAGUCCAUUCCAUCCAUUCCAUAUGUCCUACAUCUCUGUGCUGGCAGUGAGAUAGUGAGGUCUGGGAAUGGGGAAUACUGGGAAUACUACUCUUCUCUUCUCUUCUCUUCUCUUCUCUUCUCUUCUCUUCUCUUCUCUUCUCUUCUCUUCUCUUCUCUUCUCUUCUCUUCUCUUCUCUUCUCUUCUCUUCUCUUCUCUUCUCUCUUCUUUUACUUUAUUUUCUUUCUCCUCCCCAGAUAAAAUUGUCUACCUGCAAAAUGAAUCAUCUGAAUUUAGGUUUUCCUUUAAAGUUUUAUGGGCUGCAUAUUUGCUCCCCAUCCUUUCUUUAAUUUUGCUAGUGAGGAGCCUGUCUGUACCAUGCAACUCACAACUGCCUGGGAGACCUGUGACAAGUAAAUUUCAGUCUCUCAGUAGAGCUGGUAUUCUUAGAGCUGCAGGAGCAGUCAUCAUGAAGGGGAAAGCUGUGAACGCCAAUAAAUUAUUGAAGAAAGCAGGAGAAAUAUUUCCUUCUGUUGACACAUUGGCAUUCACCUUUGGGAAUGUAAUCAUGGGAAAGGUAGGCAAUCUUUUGUCAUAGAGAUCUUUUGCUCGGAGAAUUCAGUCUUUUUAAAACCUUAGGAGGGAGCCUGCAAGCCCUCAACAUGGAAGGGGUAUUCAAGUUAUAGGAUGUCUUCAGGCAGACAAGUUUCUCAGAAAUGACAGUGAAACUGAAUUAAGUCUGCAACACAUUAAAAUUACUUGGUGAUAAAAAGGGAGGUUAGUGAGGUAGAGAGUAAACCCCUCCAGCUCCCUGACACCCCGGGACAGUUUCCAAUCAGGAGGGGGAUUGUUUUCUACGAACAAAACAAGACAGCAUUAGUACAAGACAGAGCAUAAACAUGGCAAAAUUUAGAGUUCAGAGAAGAACAGAAGAUGGAAGCCAACCUCUUGGUGUAAGGCAGAGGAAACAGCAAGGACAUGCCUACAAGAUCAACAUUUCCUUUUGGGUUGUGACAUGGGGGAAGGACUGGGGCAGUUCUUGAGAGCUGGGGUGGUGCAGGAGUGGUUUCUUCUAGCCUGAAAAUCUGAUUCUACCUCUUUCUUCCAUCACUGAAACAAAGGAACCUACCCAGGCCUGUGAACAUAGAUUUGUCUGUCUGAAUUUCAAAUUUUGCUUGGAAAGCCAUCAAAUUAGCACUGAUGUUUUAUUCCAACAUCAGAAACGGCAGGGAAAAAUACCCAGGAGCUCGUUGGAUUUAAAUCCACAGAAUCAUCUCCAGUUUUGUUUAGACGAGAUGAGUGAAUAACCCCCCUUCUCAGCAUCAUAUUUGGCUCAAAUCACCAAUUUACUGGUUUACAAAAAUCUAAAACUGCCCCUCCGGCAAAUUAAGGGAUUACGUCAAUCACUCAAGUCCAUUCUACCUGACAACAGCACGCAGCAACAGGGCAAAAGGUUUGAUGCUCUGCUGGAAUGUGAUAAGGAGAAAAUGCCAAAUGACACAUAGGCAAAGUUAUUACCAGCGAGAUGAAGACAAACUGGAGGGAGUUCAGAGAAGUGCAACAAAAAUGAUUAGAGAGCUGGAGGGGUUGAUUUAGAAGGAAAGUUUACAAGAACAACUGGCAAUAUGCACAGCAGGGCUGAGCAACAUCUGAGGGGGGAGAGAGAGCCAGUUGCAAACAUCUGAACAGUGCAAACACCCAGGGAGGAACACAAUUACCCAAGGGGGAAAUAACUAAGAUAAUAGGUUGAAAUUAGGAGAAAGAGAUAAACAUCAAAAUAACUUCUCAGUGAAAAGACUGUGGAAUAACCUACUAUGGGAAGACAUGGAAGUCCAAGCCAAGCAGGCUAUAAAUUCCUUCCCACAGCCCCUGCAGAUACAAAAGUCAGCUACAGAUAACUUUGAAAACAAUUUCUAAGCAACAAAUGUCAGAACUUCUGCAAGAAACCAGGUGUGAGAAGGUGUUUAGAACUGAUGAUUUCCAGAUAACUCUACUAGUUUUCUUGCUGUUCAAAUGCACAAUGGGGAGGAGUUUGAAAAGGCUCUUGCUUUCUGUUUCCUGGGUGAAAUGACUGCACUGGAAACCUCCAAAAGUGCAGUUGUGGCAAUCAAGACAUUGCCCACUCAUCGACAAAUAGUUUUCCAGUUGAGAUAGUUGGUUUAAAUCUCCCUCAGGUUUGGAGUGACUGGAAAUCAACACCAGAUAAUGGCUGUUUGGUAGUAGAUGUGACAUGAGUUAAUGCACUCACUUGAAUUUCUAGUGGAUAUUGGACAUGUGCUCACAUUACAAAUGCUUUGAACAGCAUGAUCAGCAUUAAAUUAACAUCUACACUGACAAUCUUGCCAAAGAAAUCCAGAAGGAGAUGGACAUUAGUAAUGAACUGCACGUUCACCUUUGGAGUGAAGUCAUUAGCAAGGUAAACUUUACCUCAUGGGCUCUGAACCUCGUCUCCUCUACUGUAUUUCCUAACUCCUGGAUGGGAUGUCAAUUUGCAAAGCAGAUUAUUUAGCAUAUUUCCUCAGCAUACAAGAAACUGCUACCAUUAAAGAAAAUUUACAUUACAGAACGGUUGUUUAUUAGACAUUAUCAUUAAUUAAUAAGUAUUUUUAGCUGCUUCUUGACAAGGAAGGUGCAUGGCAUGCAUGUGACACAAUUCAUCUGGUUUUAUAGAAGGUAGUAAUAGCUGCAAUGAGUAUAGAAGUAGCACAGGACUCUCUUGCAGAGUGGUAUUUGAAGGUCUGGCUAAGCAAAGCCACUUAGGCCAUUUCUAGUUUAUUGUUGUUACACUUUGGUAUGGCUUUCUAGUAAUUUAUAGGGGUGUUUGUUGAGUUCAUGAGCUCUUGAGACCUGCAUCCAAUAAAAUAGUGAUGUACUUUCUCUUGACUGAAGGCAGAAGCAUAUAUCAUUGCAUGCAGUGGGUCUGAUAUCAUUUUAUGCUGGAUGGGGAAAAAGGCUGUGAAGCUCUGUAGCUUAGUAAAAGAAAAGGAAAAGUAAAGAAAAAUGGCAAUAAAGGACAUCACUUUGUGCAGGGCACUAUUUUGUUUCUAGAUUCUUUAGCUUCAUACAUUAGCAAGCCGGGAAUUUGGUGGGUUAAUCCUACCCUUGACUGUAAGAUCCCAUAUUAGUUAACGAUCUCUUUCUGAACUUGAUAUAAAGCCACAUAAGUUAAUGAGCAGCUAUUAGACAAACCAUUAUUUAUAUACUUAUAUAUAUUCCCAUAAUUUUUCAUCUGUAUUUUAACUUUGCCAUGACAUAGGGUGCUAAUCCUUCAUGCUCUUGCAGUGUUAACAACAAUAUCUUUUCCCAUUUAAUUAAUAUUUUUAAAAGUUGCCUCAUCCUCCACCAUUAACAUCUUCCCCUCUAUCAAACAAUAAGUGAUAUGGAUCAGUCUUAGUCGAUUAGCUGUAAAGAAGAGGAAAAAUCACUAAGGCAGCAAGGCUUAUUCUUAAAGUAACUUCUCUCUUUCCACCUACUUGUCUAUUCUUAGACUACUGUAAACAUAAAAUGGUCAGGCAGCACAUAGAACAGUCCUAUCAUGUAGGAAAAAAAAAAAAAAUUGGUUCCUAGUGUGACUGUGCACCUUUGCAUAAAAUAAAUAAAUAAAAAUCUCUGUCAUGGAAAAGACAAAGGUAGCAUUGCUUUUACUGGUUUUCUCAGAAAUCUAACUUCCCUUCCCUUCCCUUCCCUUCCCUUCCCUUCCCUUCCCUUCCCUUCCCUCCCCUCCCCUUCCCUUCC
ensembl:lncRNA